GACGUAGGGCGCGAGCGUUGUCCGGAUUUAUUGGGCGUAAAGAGCUCGUAGGCGGCUCGUCGCGUCGGUUGUGAAAAUCCACGGCUUAACUGUGGGCUUGCAGCCGAUACGGGUGGGCUAGAGUUCGGUAGGGGAGACUGGAAUUCCUGGUGUAGCGGUGAAAUGCGCAGAUAUCAGGAGGAACACCGGUGGCGAAGGCGGGUCUCUGGGCCGAUACUGACGCUGAGGAGCGAAAGCGUGGGGAGCGAACAGG
rnacentral:rRNA from 1 species